rnacentral:rRNA from 1 species
GACAGAGGGUGCAAACGUUGUUCGGAAUUACUGGGCGUAAAGCGCAUGUAGGCUGCUCUGUGUGUCGGAUGUGAAAGCCCCGGGCUCAACCUGGGAAGUGCACUCGAAACUACAGAGCUGGAGUCCCGGAGAGGAUCGCGGAAUUCUCGGUGUAGAGGUGAAAUUCGUAGAUAUCGAGAGGAACACCGGUGGCGAAGGCGGCGAUCUGGACGGUGACUGACGCUGAGAUGCGAAAGCGUGGGGAGCAAACAGG